rnacentral:RNase_P_RNA from 1 species
GGAGUUGGCCGGGCAACCGCUGCUUACGAGUGGAGGAAAGUCCGGGCUCCAUAGGGCAGGGUGCCAGGUAACACCUGGGAGGCGUGAGCCUACGGAAAGUGCCACAGAAAACAAACCGCCUAAGUCCCCCGUGGACCGGUAAGGGUGAAAUGGUGCGGUAAGAGCGCACCGCGCGGUCGGCAACGACAGUGGCAGGGUAAACCCCACCUGGAGCAAGACCAAAUAGGGAAGCAUCAGUGUGGCCCGCACCGCUUCCGGGUAGGUCGCUACAGGCAUGUGGUGACAUGUGUCGCAGAUGAAUGGUUGUCCUUGACAGAACCCGGCUUACAGGCCGACUCCCGCC